UACGAAGGGUGCAAGCGUUAAUCGGAAUUACUGGGCGUAAAGGGUGCGUAGGCGGUUGUUUAAGUCUGUCGUGAAAUCCCCGGGCUCAACCUGGGAAUGGCGAUGGAUACUGGGCAGCUAGAGUGUGUCAGAGGAUGGUGGAAUUCCCGGUGUAGCGGUGAAAUGCGUAGAGAUCGGGAGGAACAUCAGUGGCGAAGGCGGCCAUCUGGGACAACACUGACGCUGAGACGCGAAAGCGUGGGGAGCAAACAGG
rnacentral:rRNA from 1 species